rnacentral:misc_RNA from 1 species
AUCAAACACCCUUUAUUAGAUUAAAGUUGUAGAAGUAGUCGUAAAAUGAAAACACUUCCAAAACACAUAAUAAUCUUGACUCCGCUCACUGCGGUCAUCCGAAUGGAGCAGAGUGAGAAUACAUAAUGAAAAUGAUUGUUCUAAAAUUCAAUUCUUUUAAGCACCCAAUACAGAACCUGAGCUCCUGCGGCAUUCCUGCAACAUAUCCAAGUAGAAUUGGCACUUGCUAAUGUCACUUCCAUAGUGGUUCAGGCAAUCUUGGAAGGACUUCGACUGAACAGUACAAGAAUCAGACCCUCCAGGAUUAUUUGCUACCAAAGGUUCUGAAGAAGUUGAUGAAUUGAUGGUCUCGUGCUGGAUGGUCCGAGGACCCAUUACAGCAUCAACAGCCCUGUGAGCCACAGCACUUCCAGUACCAAAGGCCAUACCUUGAGCUAUGGUAGAACCAAUACCACCAAGCAUGGAUCCACCACCACUACUUUGCAUGGGAGCUGGUGGAGGAGCAUGGUGUGCAGGGGCUGGAGCAGGACGAGGAGCAGCGCGAGGGGCAGGACGAGGAGCAGAUCUUCCAGAGCUUCGGCGAGGCAUGAUUAGCGGAUAGAGGCGGCGAAAACGUAGAGAGAGAAUUGAGAUCACAAAAAACCCUAGAGAUAUCGAUGAAGAUGAUAUUUCUUUUCUUUCUUA